rnacentral:rRNA from 1 species
GUGAGGAAUUUUGCGCAAUGGGGGCAACCCUGACGCAGCGACGCCGCGUGGAGGACGAAGUCUUUCGGGAUGUAAACUCCUGUCAGUGGGGACGAUAAUGACGGUACCCACAGAGGAAGCACCGGCUAACUCCGUGCCAGCAGCCGCGGUAAGACGGAGGGUGCAAGCGUUGUUCGGAAUUACUGGGCGUAAAGCGUACGUAGGCGGCAAGUUAAGUUCAAUGUUAAAGCCCACGGCUCAACCGAGGAGAUGCAUUGAAUACUGGCUAGCUAGAGGGUGUUAGAGGAAGACGGAAUUCCCAGUGUAGCGGUGAAAUGCGUAGAUAUUGGGAGGAACAUCGGUAGCGAAAGCGGUCUUCUGGGACACACCUGACGCUGAGGUACGAAAGCGUGGGGAGCAAACGGGAUUAGAAACCCCUGUAGUCC